GGUUGCGAUCAUACCAGCACUAAUGCACCGGAUCCCAUCAGGACUCCGCAGUUAAGCGUGCUUGGGCGAGAGUAGUACUAGGAUGGGUGACCCCCCUGGGAAGUCCUCGUGUUGCAACCCC
rnacentral:rRNA from 1 species